rnacentral:rRNA from 1 species
CCCUUAGAUGUUCUGGGCCGCACGCGCGCUACACUGAUACAUGCAACGAGUUUAUAACCUUGAUCUGACGGUCUGGGUAAUCUUCAAACUGUAUUGUGUUAGGGAUCGAUUCUUGCAAUUUUUAAUCGUAAACGAGGAAUUCCUAGUAAACGCAAGUCAUCAGCUUGCAUUGAUUACGUCCCUGCCCUUUGUACACACCGCCCGUCGACUCUACCGAUUGAAUGGUUCGGUGAAAACUUUGGACUGUGGCAUUGUCCUUCAUUGGACUUCGCCGUAGGAAAUUGUUUAAACCUCAUCAUUUAGAGGAAGAAUAAGUCGUAACA